UUUACACAUGCAAGGUCGUACCGAGAGUUUUAAACUCAAGUGGGGGACGGGUGAGGUAACACGUAAGAAUUUGCCGUUUAGGAGGGGGACAGCGGGCUGGAAACGGUUGCUAAUACCCCAUAUGCUUUCGAGUAAAAUGGAUUUUUCGGCCUAAAGAGAAGCUUGCGGCUGAUUAGCUUGUUGGUGAGGGAAUGGCUCACCAAGGCGACGAUGCA
rnacentral:rRNA from 1 species